UACGUAGGGGGCUAGCGUUGUCCGGAAUCAUUGGGCGUAAAGCGCGUGUAGGCGGUUCGGUAAGUCCGCUGUGAAAGUCGGGGCUCAACCCUCGGAUGCCGGUGGAUACUGUCGAGCUUGAGUACGGAAGAGGCGAGUGGAAUUCCUGGUGUAGCGGUGAAAUGCGCAGAUAUCAGGAAGAACACCCGUGGCUAAGGCGGCUCUCUAGUACGGUACUGACGCUGAGACGCGAAAGCGUGGGAGCGAACAGG
rnacentral:rRNA from 1 species